AUUUCUUGCCCUGUUGUGUUAGUAAAAUAUUAACCCCAAAUACAACAUGGAAAAUGUUAAUCUGGUGGUAAUGGAAGGAGGGAAAAUAUUUUUUUUCCCUCCUGUCACCAAACCAUUAACUACAAAU